UACGUAGGGUGCAAGCGUUGUCCGGAAUUAUUGGGCGUAAAGAGCUCGUAGGCGGUCUGUCGCGUCGGCUGUGAAAACCCGGAGCUCAACUCCGGGCCUGCAGUCGAUACGGGCAGACUGGAGUUCGGCAGGGGAGACUGGAAUUCCUGGUGUAGCGGUGGAAUGCGCAGAUAUCAGGAGGAACACCGAUGGCGAAGGCAGGUCUCUGGGCCGCAACUGACGCUGAGGAGCGAAAGCAUGGGGAGCGAACAGG
rnacentral:rRNA from 1 species